AUCCAGCCGACGAGCCUUAAACAGACCGAAACGUGCGUCCUGGAU
rnacentral:hammerhead_ribozyme from 1 species